CUUUUAGGAAAAAUUAAAAGUCGGGCCUGCCCACUGAAAUUUAAAGGGCCGCAGUAUUUUGACUGUGCUAAGGUAGCAUAAUCAUUUGUUUUUUAAUUGGAAACUGGAAUGAAUGGUUUGACGAAAUAAAAACUGUCUAUAAAUUUAAGUGUUGAAUUUUAUUUUUAAGUUAAAAAGCUUAAAUGUUAUUUGGGGACGAGAAGACCCUAUAGAUCUUUAUAUUAAUUUUAUUUAAGUAUUUUAAGAAAAAGAAAUUAGUAAGUGAAAUUAUUUAUUUUGUUGGGGUGAUAUGAGAAUAAAAAAACUUCUUAAUUAAUUUAACUAAAAUUGAAGAGUUAUGGAUCCUUUAUUAAGGAAUAAAGAUUAAGAUACCUUAGGGAUAACAGCGUAAUUUUAUUGGAAAGUUCUUAUUAAUAAUAAAGUUUGCGACCUCGAUGUUGGAUUAAGAGAAAGGGUUGGUGAAGAAGUUAACUUUUUAAGUCUGUUC
rnacentral:rRNA from 1 species